UGAGCUGUGGCGUAGUGGCGCGCAAAGUAAUGAAGACGACUCAUAACCUGAAGGUCGCAGGUUCAAAUCCUGCCCCCGCAACCA
rnacentral:tRNA from 1 species